GGCAAAAGCAUCAUUUUUAUUGGGGUUUUUCCCAAUUCUUUGGGUUUUCCACCCAAAAUCCAUGGGGGAGGGGCCCAAAGCUGCCCCAUAGCUCUGGGACCCCCCCCCCCCUUCCCAGCCCCAUAGAUUGGGGGGUCCUAUAGAAGGCACAAGCGUGGGGGGGGGUGAACCAUUGCAAUGGGGGGUCCGGGUGCGUCUGUAGGGGCCUGGGGGAGAGAGGGGAGGGGACAUACAGAGACCCCAUAGAGACCCCAUAGAGACCUAUAGGGACACAUAGAGACCCCAUAGAGACCCCAUUGAGACCCCAUAGAGCCCCAUAGAGCCCCAUAGAGACCCCAUAGAACCCCAUAGAGCCCCAUAGAGACCCCAUAGAGCCCCAUAGAGACCCCAUACAGACCCCAUAGAGACCCAUACGGACCCCAUAGAGACCCCAUAGAGACCCAUAGAGCCCCAUAGAGACCCCAUAGAGACCCAUAGAGACCCCAUAGGGACACAUAGAGACCCCAUAGAGACCCCAUAGAGACCCAUAGAGACCCAUAGAGCCCCAUAGAGCCCCAUAGUGCCCCAUACCUGCCCCUCACGUGUCGCUGCCUCCUGUGGGUCCAGCCUUGCUCAGGGUCUCUCUGAGCUGCCAGAAGCUCUGCUCCAGCUCCUGCAGUGCCCCAUAGAUGUGGGGCAGACCCAUAGAGAGUCAUGGGCAGCCCCAUAGGGGGUCCCAGCCCCACACUUAUGGGUCCCAGCCCCACACUUAUGGGUCUCAGACCCUCUCUAUGGGUCCCAGCCCCACACUUAUGGGUCCCAUCCCCUCUCUAUGGGUCCCAGCCCCUCUCUAUGGGUCCCAGCCCCACACUUAUGGGUCCCAGCCCCUCUCUAUGGGUCCCAGCCCCACACUUAUGGGUCCCAGCCCCUCUCUAUGGGUCCCAAACCCUCUCUAUGGGUCCCAGCCCCACACUUAUGGGUCCCAGCCCCAUUCUAUGGGUCCCAGCCCCUCUCUAUGGGUCCCAGCCCCACACUUAUGGGUCCCAGCCCCUCUCUAUGGGUCCCAGCCCCACACUUAUGGGUCCCAACCCCUCUCUAUGGGUCCCAACCCCACACUUAUGGGUCUCAGACCCUCUCUAUGGGUCCCAGCCCCUCUCUAUGGGUCCCAACCCCUCUCUAUGGGUCCCAUCCCCAUUCUAUGGGUCCCAGCCCCACACUUAUGGGUCCCAGCCCCACACUUAUGGGUCCCAGCCCCUCUCUAUGGGUCUCAGCCCCACACUUAUGGGUCCCAACCCCUCUCUAUGGGUCCCAGCCCCACACUUAUGGGUCCCAACCCCUCUCUAUGGGUCCCAACCCCACACUUAUGGGUCCCAUCCCCAUUCUAUGGGUCCCAGCCCCACACUUAUGGGUCCCAGCCCCACACUUAUGGGUCCCAGCCCCAUUCUAUGGGUCCCAGCCCCUCUCUAUGGGUCCCAGCCCCACACUUAUGGGUCCCAGCCCCUCUCUAUGGGUCCCAGCCCCACACUUAUGGGUCCCAGCCCUCCCUAUGGGUUCCAGCCCCACACUUAUGGGUCCCAGCCCCAUUCUAUGGGUCCCAGCCCCACACUUAUGGGUCCCAGCCCCAUUCUAUGGGUCCCAGCCCCACACUUAUGGGUCCCAACCUCCCCCUAUGGGUCUCAGCCCCUCUCUAUGGGUCCCAGCCCCACACUUAUGGGUCCCAGCCCCAUUCUAUGGGUCCCAGCCCCACACUUAUGGGUCCCAACCUCCCCCUAUGGGUCCCAACCCCUCUCUAUGGGUCCCAGCCCCUCUCUAUGGGUCCCAGCCCCACACUUAUGGGUCCCAGCCCCAUUCUAUGGGUCCCAGCCCCACACUUAUGGGUCCCAACCCCUCUCUAUGGGUCCCAACCCAUCUCUAUGGGUCCCAGCCCCACACUUAUGGGUCCCAACCCCUCCCUAUGGGUCCCAGCCCCACACUUAUGGGUCCCAGCCCCUCUCUAUGGGUCCCAACCCCACACUUAUGGGUCUCAGCCCCACACUUAUGGGUCCCAGCCCCACACUUAUGGGUCCCAGCCCCUCUCUAUGGGUCCCAGCCCCACACUUAUGGGUCCCAGCCCCACACUUAUAGGUUCCAACCCCUCUCUAUGGGUCCCAGCCCCUCUCUAUGGGUCCCAGCCCCACACUUAUGGGUCCCAGCCCCACACUUAUGGGUCUCACCUUCAGCUUCAGCAGAGUCUCCUCCAGCCCCUGCAGCUCCUCCCCCACCUCGGGGGGGGGACACGUGACCCCUAAGGGGGGGGGGGGGGGAGGGGCAAUGAGCGGUGGGGGAGGGGCCAUGACCCCUGACCCCUCCCCCCCCGCCCCCCAGGUCCUUACCUGCCCCUCCCCCAUCCGGAGCCUCGAUCUCGUCCCGCGCAGGGGGGGGGGGGGGGGGAGGGGAGGGGGGAGGGGAGGAGCCGCUUCAGGGCUGCCACUAUGGGGGGGGAGGGGUAUAGGGGGUAUAUAGGGGGUAUAUGGGGGGUAUAUGGGGGGUAUAUGGGGGGUAUAUGGGGUAUAGGGGGUAUAUAGGGGGUAUAUGGGGGGUAUAUGGGGGGGUAUAGGGGGUAUAUAGGGGGUAUAUGGGGGGUAUAUGGGGGGUAUAUGGGGGUAUAGGGGGUAUAUGGGGGGUAUAGGGGGGGUAUAUGGGGUAUAUAGGGGGUAUAUAGGGGGUAUAUGGGGGGUAUAUGGGGGUAUAGGGGGUAUAUGGGGGGUAUAGGGGGUAUAUGGGGGGUAUAUAGGGGGUAUAGGGGGUAUAUAGGGGGUAUAUAGGGGGUAUAUAGGGGGUAUAGGGGGUAUAUAGGGGGUAUAUAGGGGGUAUAGGGGGUAUAUAGGGGGUAUAUAGGGGGUAUAUGGGGGGUAUAUGGGGGGUAUAUGGGGGGUAUAGGUGGUAUACAGGGGGUAUAUAGGGGGUAUAUGGGGGGUAUUGGGGGUAUAUGGUGGGGUAUAGGGGGUAUAUAGGGGGUAUAUAGAGGGUAUAUAGGGGGUAUAUGGGGGGUAUAUAGGGGUUAUAUGGGGGGUAUAUGGGGGGUAUAUAGGGGGUUUAUAGGGGUAUAUGGGGGGUAUAUGGGGGUAUAUGGAUGGUAUAUAGGGGGUAUAUGGGGGGUAUAUGGGGGUAUAUAUGGGGAUAUAUGGGGGGUAUAUAGGGGGUAUAUGGGGGUAUAUGGGGGUAUAUAUGGGGAUAUAUGGGGGGUAUAUAGGGGGUAUAUGGGGGGUAUAGGGGGUAUAUGGGGUAUAUGGGGGGUAUAGGGGGUAUAUGGGGGGUAUAUGGGGGGUAUAUGGGGGGGUGUAUGGGGGGGUAUAGGGGGUAUAUAGGGGGUAUAGGGGGGUAUAUAUGGGGGUAUAGGGGGGGUAUGGGGGGUAUAUGGGGGGUAUAGGGGGUAUAUGGGGGUAUAUGGGGGUAUAUGGGGGUAUAGGGGUAUAUGGGGGUAUAAGGGGUAUAGGGGGUAUAUAGGGCGUAUAUGGGGGGUAUAGGGGGUAUAUAGGGGGUAUAGGGGGUAU
rnacentral:lncRNA from 1 species